GAAAAAUACAGCAGGAAUAGCUCACAAUAAAUCAAUAAAGAUAUAGCAGCAACACAUUACUGGUUAAACUGUGUGCUUGAAAAAAACACUGUAGUGAUAGAAAAAGUGCUUCUUGGAAAUCCAAAAGAAUUUUAUUUAGUCAAGUAAAAUCAACAUAAAUCCUUAGACAAGUAAUAUAAUAAAGGAGGUACCAACAGUAGCUUAAGAUGUGCUGCAUGUCAGCUGCUUGGAAGUUUUCCCGAUGGAUGGGGAAAGUGAGAGCUGCAGUCCUCGCUGUGUGUGGU